GCAGGCGCCAAACCGCUGCGCCACCCAGGGAUCCCCAAAGAAAUUUAUGGUUCUUCUUGGAUUGUGUGUAUGCUUCUUCUCACCUUACUAAGGGCAAAUGCAAGAAGUUGAGUCUACAGCUGGACAAGAGCAGUAACCCUUAUUAUUGGGAUGGUUGCUACCAGAUGGAUGGUACAAGUUUGAUUUCUGCCUACGUGGAUCUACUAACUAGGCUCUUCUCAUCUGGGACUUGGGUGAGAUGUGACUAAGUAAAGAUCCUGAGAUGGAGACGUUUUCCUGGAUUAUUCAGGCGGACUCCAAAUGCAGUUACAAGUGUCCUUAUAAGAGAGAGGUAGCAGAAAAUCACAGACAGAAGAGGCGAAGACAACACGACCAUGGAAGUGAAGAUUGGCGUGAAGUGGUCACAAGCCAAGGAAUGCUGACAACCACCAGAAGCUGGAAGAGGAAAAUAAUGGGUUCUCUCUAGAGCCUAAGGGGGACUACAUGUCUGCCAACAUCUUGAUUUCAACCCAGUGAUACUGAUUUUGGACAUCUGGCUGCUAGAACUCUGACAGAAUAGAUUUCUGUUGUGCUGGUUGGUUGGCCAGAGUUUCUCAUCAAGGAGUACAUGCUGUUUGCUCCCCAGAUGGACAGCCUGGAUGAGCUACAAAUCCACAGAGCCUGGGACACAAGGUGGAAAUUAUACUGCCAGUGCUUUUCAUCUUGCACAGCUCUGCACACUUGAAAUUGCAAGUGGCCCAUUUCCAAAUGAACAUCUAUUGGGACAAUAUCCUAUAUCUUGUCAGAAUGAGUCCCAUUAAAUCCUCAGCUGGAAUUAGACCAAAAAGUUGCAAUAAUUAUGGGAAACUUAUUAAAAAGUUGAAGCCCUAGACUGUGACAGUGGAAACACUUAAGCCACAUUAACAGUAAUUGAAAUCUCUGUAUUUCUUUUCAAUCAGUUCUUGUUGAUGGCCAACCAAAGAAUGCCCAAAUGAGAAGGUGUGAAACCCAAACACCCAGCUUCUAAGGGGGGGUAAUGUCUUUUGUUUCACUAUAAAAUGUAGUGUUGGAAAGGGAGUAAACUGCUCUCUUGGGAGCCAAGGCACCUGCCAGACAGCUGCCCCUUGUUCCCACCAUGAGCUUGGGUCUCACCACUAUGUCUACAAUCAGGAUGCAGGUUCACUGGCCUCUGCCUAAUGUCCUGGGUCUCCUUCCCUCUCUCUCCUGCCACUCUACCCCUAGUAAGUUCUGGGUGUUAUGAAAAAUAUUAAAUAAAUAGUUUUGAAACCUGG